CCAGCGUAUGCAGUAGUUCUUAAUGUUGAUCUCCAGCCGGAGGCAUGGCAUAUCCUUUUUUCUAAUGCGUUCAGACCUUGCUUCCUCCUUCACCAUAUCACUUUAAUUCACAAUCCUUCAAUUUAAUGUAUGAACUAGCUUGCUAUCAAACGAUACAAAAACAGGGGUUCAAAAAUUCGAUCCCACAAAUAUGCUUAUCGAUGGGUGACCCCAGUCAGAUUACUAUAUGAGAUGCUAUGUUGAUUUUCAUUGUUUCAAUUUGAGUACUACUUAUUGUGACAAAAACUUGCCAUGUAUUUUCAGGAACUAGCAACAAGAACUGAUCCCAAGCAAAGACCAGGAGUGGAAAAAAAGGUACAACAUAUAUUGCAUCAUCAUUGUUUAAGCUACAAAGUGUAAUUUUCCCUGUUUUAUCAUGAAUUACUAACUUAUCCUACCAAUAUAGUAUAUAAAGAUAAUACAGCUUCCAUGCUUAUUUUUUUAAUUACUUGCAGGGGAAACACAAUUGAUUUAUCACUUUCAGGACAAGCUCUUCUAUUCGAUGUUGAGGCAGUCUUUGAUAUUGGCCAGAAUCAUCAUGUUAUAGCAAUAUUUGUGGGCACACUCAUGAAAAUAUAUCGAGAAGAUUACAAGUUCCUCAGUGGAACUUCUGCAUGUCGGUGGUAUAUAAAUGAAAAUGAUAUUCCAGCAAUGAGGACAUCUCAAAGAGGUCCAAGGAACAACAUCUCAGAUGCAUAUUACCAAAUGUAUCUCCUGCUUGUUCAAAUAUAUUGUUCUGCACAAGUGAUGAAUUCACAGCCUCAGCUAAGCAA